UCGAGCACGAGAACGACGACGACGAGGGGGGACGACCGUGAAGCGCGGCCGGUGACACCCAGGAAGUCUCGAGCAGAAGGGAGGAAGAAGCUAAAGAAGAUAGGCGAGGUUUUCCCCGAGAAGACCCACGAGAUAAUACACAGGCAAAUCUUUGGGCCAUCCGAGACCCCCAAGAAACGAAUUCCGUUUAACGUUUGGCGGUGUCCGUACUGCCCGUGGCUCCACCAAAAGAAGACGCUCGUAAUAGAGCACCUUGAUGAAGAGCACGCUGAUAUUGUACUAAACGAGCUGAACGGUGUGUACGACGCAGCCACUAGGAUGGAAAACCUUUGUGGGGGUGGACCUCGCAUCCUUGACGAGAUAAAGUUCGACGCCCACGUGCAGACGCUAUCGGCGCACUUUACCCGUAAGGAAAUGAAGGCCAUCGGGGACAUCUUUCAAAACAUGUUGGCCGAGAUCCUCUGUGAGGUGGGCGACGAGACGAGUCGGCCCUCCAAUAGAUACGUGCAGUGGAAAGCGGUACACAAGAGGAUAGGGGAGGACGAGCCAUACGAGAGCCGGCCCAAUUUGUACCAAUUGGAGGACAACUCCGAAUACGAGUCGGACGCGGCCUGGGAUGCAGAACCGGCCCUAUCGUACUCCGAGGACGACGAAAACAAGAGGAAGACGUUCGCGGAGCUGGAUCUGACGGAAGGCGGUAGUUCAGAUGUGGACUUUAGGCCUCCCAAGGGCCUAGUAGUUGAUAUUUCAUCUUCAUCCGAAGACUUGGAAGGCGAGGGCUGCAAAAGGGCAAGCAAGGAAUUUUAACGGCAGAGGCGGUAGGAGCGAUGAGUCCCCAGACGUGGGAGGCUGUCACAAGCGCCGUCGGCCAGGCGAUGGCCUCCGCGCCUGGGCACUUCCACGCUACCGCUGGCACGUCAACCGCUGGCACGUCAACCGCUGGCACGUCAACCGCUGGCACGUCAACCGCUGGCACGUCAACCGCUGGCACGUCAACCGGCAGCAGCGGCUCCCAGGAACACAGGGGGUGGUUGCAGCCUCCCGUCGUCGUCAUCAACGACGACGACAGCGACGGAUCUCCCGGACCCGGACAUCCCCGUGGUCCUGGGCGCACCCGCCGGGCCGCCACAACAGGGUUCGGGCCCGGUCGAGGACGAAGUGAGGGCGUAUCUCGACGAGCCCCUUGGAGUGGAUUUCGAUCGCACAAAGCAGUUAACGAGGCUGAUCGAUUUCCCCUUUUGGCAAUGCUUGCCCGGCAAUACCUGUCCAUCCCGGCCUCAAGUGCCGAGACCGAACGUACUUUUAGUGAAGCAGGGUGGAUUCUAAACAAGAGGCGGAAGAGGCUCUGCAUGACCACCGUAGACGAUUUGAUCAUCCUGCAUGCCAACUGCAAGGACAGGAUUAGGGAGCGCCUCAGCAAAAGAAAGCGGCGCAAGGGCCCUGACUAAUCUAUAAUUACUGAUCUCUAUCUUAAUUUUUUCUAUUUUCGUCCAAGACAACGAGACGACAGUCUCUCCCAAUUUGUUUAUAUUUUUUGUUUGUAAAUGAAAAGAGUUUAUUUUAUGUUGAAAUAUCUAAAAAUAUAUAGACAUAUUUUUAUUUAUAAAAGUAUGAGAGCAGGGACAAGAGACAUGAAUUCUGAUAAUAUGAAUUCUAUUAAAACUAUGAUGUUCAAUAAAUAUUGAAAUUUGAAAGUUACCGGCCGCUAUCCG